AUUGAACGCUGGCGGCAGGCCUAACACAUGCAAGUCGAGCGAGCGGCGGACGGGUGAGUAAUGUCUGGGAAACUGCCUGAUGGAGGGGGAUAACUACUGGAAACGGUAGCUAAUACCGCAUACCAUCAGAUGUGCCCAGAUGGGAUGAGCUAGUAGGUGGGGUAACGGCUCACCUAGGCGACGAUCCCUAGCUGGUCUAAGAGGAUGACCAGCCACAAUGGAACUAAGACACUGUCGAGACUCCUACGGGAGGGAGCAGUGGGGAAUCUUGGACAAUGGGCGCAAGCCUGAUGCAGCCAUGCCGGGUGUGUGAAGAAGGCCUUCGGGUUGUAAAGCACUUUCAGCGGGAGGGAGGGACCCGAAGAAGAAGCACCGGAGAACUCCGUGCCAGCAGCCGCGGUAAUAC
rnacentral:rRNA from 1 species